UGAGAAACAGGGUCUUGCUGUGUCUCCCUGGAUGCAGUCCAGUGGCAUGAUAAUAGUUCACGGUAACCUCGAGCUCCUGGGCUUGAGCAAUCCCCCUGCCUCAGCCUUCAGAGUAGCUGGGACUACAGGCAUCCACCAGCAUGGCUGGCGAAUUUUUAAAAAUUUUUAUAGAGAUUUUGCUGUGUUGCCCAGCUGGUCCUGAACUUCUGGCCUCAAGUGGUUCUGCCCUCGGCCUCCCAAUGAACUAGAAUUAUAGGCAUGAGCCACUGCACCCAGCCUACUUAUACAGUUCUAAAUUAAUAGUCCUUACAUAUUUUAUUUGUGGCCAAUACAUUUAUACUUUUUUUUUGGAUGGAGUCUCCCUCUGUUGCCCAGGCUGGAGUACAGUGGUGUGAUCUCAGUUCACUACAACCUCCACUUCCCGGGUUGAAGCGAUUCUCCUGCCUCAGCCUCCCGAGUAGCUGGGACAACAGGGUCUCACACUGUCACACAGGCUGGAGUGCAGUGUUGUGAUUAUAGCUCACUGCAGCCUCACACUCCUGGGCUCCAGAGAACCUCCUGCUUCAGCCUUCCAAGUAGCUGGGACUACAGAGUCAACUACCAAAACUGCUGAUCCGUGGAAACUUCACAGCCUUUCCGGGCAUAAUAACGGCUACAGCUACAGCUUAUUCAAAGAGAGAAAUAGCCUUUGAUGAGCUGUGCAAGGACAAAUUAAGACGUGACUCUCACCCAGCAUCUAGAUAGUAUCCUGAUGUUCCAGGCUUUACCCAAAAAGAAAUGGUUCUAGGGGAGCUGGGAGGCUUUGACCACACUCUCCUAAUAGCAGUGGAAGGACCAGGACCUAAAGAUGACCAUACCACCAAGGACUUCAGAGCAUCAGAAGCAAAACAGCAUGUUGCUAAGGCAAUUCUUUCUGUCAUCUCUGCUCUUCCAACCUGUGGCAAAGUCAGAUAACUGUCCCUAAGUUCCCAUUAUCUACUUCUUUAGUAAUAGAAACCCUAAUUUUUAGCUGGCAAUGUGGGGGGUGGAUUCUGGUUGGCUGAAAUAAACUCUAUAUUUCUCAGCCUCUUCUGGUUGGAUGUGGUCAUGUAUCUAAGUUCUAGACAAUGAGAUGAAAGUAGAACUGCCAUGUAAAAUUUCUGAGAAAUAGCCUUAAGAGGUAUUAAAUCAAGGUUAGCCUAAAGGUACCUCCUUACAUAUUUUAAGUUCAGCCUAAAAGUUUCUCUGUACAUCGUGAACUGUAAUCUAAACAAAGUUGUAAACAGAAUGUAACCUACUCUUGUGCCAAUCACCAAGUUUUGGUCAAUCAAAGGUGGCCAGCUGUUCAAACCAUGUUCAAAUAAGGCAAACUCUGAGCGGUAACCAAUCUGGCUGUUUCUGUACUUCUGUUUUCUGUAUAUCACUUUCCUUUUUCUGUCCAUAAGUCUUCUCCUACCAUGUGGCUGCACUGCAGUGGAGUCUCUGAGCCUACUCCGGCUCAGGAGUCUGCCAAAUUCAGAAAUUGUUCUUUGCUCAAUUAAAUUCUUUUAAAU
rnacentral:lncRNA from 1 species